GUUUGUAUUGUUUUUUUGUAGAAUUAAAUUUGAAAAUAUAUUGGAGUAUUUUUAGUUUAAAGUUGUAUGCUUUCGUUGAAACUUGGUUGUGUUUGUAUUUCUACUUGAAUCAAGUAGAUAUGAUUAAUAAAGUUUUUAUAAAGGAAUUACUAUAGUUAAAAAAGGCUGAAAGGAAAAAAUAUGAUGAUUUGUUUCAAGAAAGGGAGUGACUUACUUCAAAAUGUCAUUUUAAAAUUUUUAUUCUUUAAUGAUAUUCUGGUGUUAUUACCAAAUGUUUAGCAGUAUGAAACCUAUAAUAUUAUAUACCAUACUAUAUACCCUAUUAUACUUAUAAAGUUAAUAAUCUGUAAAGUAAUUUGUAAAAAUUUUUUAAUUGUAAAAUUGCUACACGAGAAGACAAGUUGUUUGAUGAAUUUCAAAUAUUCUCUAUGUUUGUGUUGUGUAAGUUAAAAAAUAAUAAACAAAGAUGAUAUUGAUUGUGAUGACCAAAAGAUUUAUUUUAAGACACAUCAAUCUUCAUCAUCUGUAAAUAAAAAGGAUAAACAUUAUGGUUUUCCAUUAUCUCAAGCAAAAACAAAGAGUUCAAAAUAUCAGUGGUAAGAACUGUCAAAAACUUGUAAUAGCUAUGAUAAAGAGUUUUAUGACAAAUUCGCUCAUGGCCAAAUCUAAUAUGGCAGCUGGAAAAGGCAAAGGAUCUUUUUAGCCUAACCAAGCUAUACAACUUAAUAAAAGUUUGUGCAUCGACUUCUCACGAAUCAUACACAGAGUCGAUUGUCGAUGCAAUAAUUGCUGAUUCGU